UAAGCAUAUCAAUAAGCGGAGGAAAAGAAACCAACAGGGAUUGCCCCAGUAACGGCGAGUGAAGCGGCAACAGCUCAAAUUUGAAAUCUGGCCCCUAGGGUCCGAGUUGUAAUUUGUAGAGGAUGCUUUUGGUGAGGUGCCGCCCGAGUUCCCUGGAACGGGACGCCGCAGAGGGUGAGAGCCCCGUCUGGCUGGCCACCGAGCCUCUGUAAAGCUCCUUCAACGAGUCGAGUAGUUUGGGAAUGCUGCUCAAAAUGGGAGGUAUAUGUCUUCUAAAGCUAAAUAUUGGCCAGAGACCGAUAGCGCACAAGUAGAGUGAUCGAAAGAUGAAAAGCACCUUGAAAAGAGGGUUAAACAGUACGUGAAAUUGUUGAAAGGGAAGCGCUUGUGACCAGACUUGGGCGCGGCGGAUCAUCCGGGGUUCUCCCCGGUGCACUUCGCCGCGUUCAGGCCAGCAUCAGUUCGGCGCGGGGGAAAAAGGCUUCGGGAACGUGGCUCCUCCGGGAGUGUUAUAGCCCGUUGCAUAAUACCCUGUGCUGGACUGAGGACCGCGCAUCUGCAAGGAUGCUGGCGUAAUGGUCACCAGCGACCCGUC
rnacentral:rRNA from 1 species